UAGGUCCAGAACCGUUGGUGGGAUUCAAGUAAUUUAACAACCGGUUCUCUGCCCUAAUGAUUUCUUCCAACAACCAGUUUGCCCAACUGCUCAGAAAGUUAACAACCGGUUCUCCCGAAGUGGUGCGAACUGGCUGAAUCCCACCACUGUCCAGAGCCAAGAUCUAACAUUCACAAGAAGCUCAUGAAGAAACCUGGUUUGCUAACGAAGUCUACCAAGAAUAAGGAGGCACUUGCAAGACUCUCUUAUUAUAGCCCAUUUCAAUGAAAAGCAAUUUUCGCUUUCUGGCGGAGCUGAUUUCCUGGUUAGGUUGACCCAGUACACCCACACAGCUCAGUAAAGCUCUACGCUGGAUUUCAAGACCAUCGCCGUUCCAAAGCUGUUCCAGAUUACCGAGGACAGAAGUCUAAAACAUCUGGAUGGGCUGAGAGAAAAGUGACUGGUCCAAGAUCACCCAGCUGGCUUCGUGCCGAGACUGGACUAGAACUCACAGUCUCCCAGUGUUUGGCCUGAUGCCUUCACCACACAACAAACUGUCUCUUCUUAGCAGAUUUUUGCUGACACCAGGCUACGAGUUCUUCCCCGGGCAGACCUCAAAUAAUGGUUCUUUUUAAUGGCUGGUGGGGUCCUUCUGAAGCCCUCAGCCCUCGCAGACAACGAGGAACAAGAAGCUUGGGAAGAGGACAGAAAGGUGUGCCCAACUUCCAAAUAAAAACAUUAAACCCAAUAAAUUGUUCUCUAAACAGCGAUGCGUUCACUGUACCUGCGUAGGCAAGCAGGAGAAAGGAAAAAGAUACCCUGGGUGGUGUUUUAACGUAUUUUUUUAAUAAGACAAAAAUGAACGCUUCCAGAGUUUUACUGCAGGAGUGGUAUAGCAGAAAAGGAAGAGAAAGAAGAUUCACAGAACUUGUAUCGGCACAAAAGAGACCUACAAGUUUUUCUUGCCUAACUUCCCCUGCACCUCGCACAAAAUACAGCAACCGAAGAGUAUAACACACCUGCUGCAACCACAUUCUAACAGCAGAGCUACAAUCAUCUUCCCCUGCACCGUUCGCAGCUGUGUGUUGGUAUGGGGGAAGGGGGGGGGAGGGAAGCCUUUUCUCCCCCCUGUAAAUCCAAACUGUCACUCUGAAAUUCUAUCACCGAUUUUCACAUCUUCUGUCAAGAUGGCUGCUUCUGAAGUAGAGCUGUGUGCAACAAAUGAGACAGAAGCGUGUGGGGUGGUUUUUUUUUUUGCAAACUAUAGAAAGAGUCAA